GUGGGGAAUUUUGGACAAUGGGGGCAACCCUGAUCCAGCCAUGCCGCGUGCGGGAAGAAGGCCUUCGGGUUGUAAACCGCUUUUGUCAGGGAAGAAAUCCUUUGGGUUAAUAUCUCGGAGGGAUGACGGUACCUGAAGAAUAAGCACCGGCUAACUACGUGCCAGCAGCCGCGGUAAUACGUAGGGUGCGAGCGUUAAUCGGAAUUACUGGGCGUAAAGCGUGCGCAGGCGGUUUUGUAAGAUCGAUGUGAAAUCCCCGGGCUCAACCUGGGAACUGCAUUGGUGACUGCAAGGCUGGAGUGCGGCAGAGGGGGAUGGAAUUCCGCGUGUAGCAGUGAAAUGCGUAGAUAUGCGGAGGAACACCGAUGGCGAAGGCAAUCCCCUGGGCCUGCACUGACGCUCAUGCACGAAAGCGUGGGGAGCAAACAGGAUUAGAUACCCGAGUAGUCC
rnacentral:rRNA from 1 species